rnacentral:rRNA from 1 species
GAUAAACGCUGGCGGCGUGCCUAACACAUGCAAGUCGCACGCGCUUCGCAAGAAGCGAGUGGCGGACGGGUGAGUAACACGUGGGAACCUACCUGGAGGUGAGGAAUACCGGCGAGAAAUCGCCGACAAGACCGCAUAGGUUCGGUGCGAGCCGAGCAAAGCCGCAAGGCGCCCCCAGAUGGGCCCGCGGCCGAUUAGCUAGCUGGUGAGGUAACAGCUCACCAGGGCGACGAUCGGUAGCUGGUCUGAGAGGACGAUCAGCCACACUGGGAUUGAG